UCCAUUCUGGACGUUUAAAAACGAUGUGAACAUAAGCCAGCAAAACAAGAGGCAAGGAGCACUCCUCACUCCCAAGAGGCAAAAUCAAAGGAAGUUGUUGUAAGUACAGUGAAAGAACAGAGAUGAGCAGAGCCAGGAAGCACAGAACAUUCCAGAAGCCGGAGCAGAUAGAAUUAGUGAGCAGUUCAGUCCACCAUCAUGGAACAGAAUGCAAGACAGCACGUCACUGAACAGAGGCACCGAGAGUGAUAUGCUCUAACUGGAAGCUUCUCAGACAGGGGUAAAAAUUGUCAGAAUGUCCCCACCUCUGACUGGCAGAACAAAGACUCAUGUAGGAGAUCCUGAAAAAGGGAAGACAUGGAAAGCCCAUGCUGUGCACCAGCUUCACUCAUUGCAUCACCAAACUCUAAAUUCCAUGAGGAUGAGGGUUUCAUCUGCUGUCUCCAGCGCGUAGAGCCGUGCAUUCGGUAACUUAUCGAAGUAUGGCAAAAUAGUUUGUCUCCAUGAAGGAGACAACUGUUAACCUGUGGCAGGCAAAAGAGAAAGAAGAGGAGGAAGAGUCCAGAGAUAAAAUAUCUCCUUCAGUGGCAUUCCCCUGAUGAUCUGUGUGUCAUCAGCUAAAAACCACCAGGAGAGAUUCCCCAGCAUUUCAGAUCUCAUCCUACCAAUCAGGUCAGCAGCCCAGGGGUUCAUUGGGUGGGGAGGUGUCCUGCCUGGGCUGUGUGGCUGCCUUUUGGCUCACUGGUUCCUUACCCACUCUGCUCCGGCACAGGGUGGCUCUCCCUCUGGUCUAUUCCACUCUCAUUUUCUCGGUUGCCCUCAAGUCUUCUCUGCAUCCCUUGGGAUGCUCCUGUCUCACCUCAAGCCCACCACAGCCAGGAUCACAAUUGGCACAGAGCUUGGGGAGGGGAAAGGAAGCCUGGCUGGGAAACCAAGCCACUCCUCUCUGCCCCUGGGGUCUGUGAGGAGUGACUGCAGGCAAACCUCAGCUGUGACUCCAGGAAGCCAAGCAGACAGGGGAUUAGCCUCAACAAAACUCAGAGCCUUGGAGCUAAAUUCAAAUCAAAUAUAGUUUUUGAUGUUAAUUCAAGGAGUCUAGGAAAAAGAGCUGAGGGAUUUGCUUCUGGAAAUUGUAUCAGAAGAUGAAGGAAUUGUAUCUGCUUCGAGUCACAAGAAGAGAGUGAUUUGGGGAUCAGGAAGAAUCCACUCUGAGCAGCUUCCCUUUCCUGUGGUGUAGGUAGCACCAAUCUCUGCUGCCAUGGUGACAGGCUGGCACCAAAUGCCAGCAUGGAGAGGAGCCAGCCCUCCUCCCCUCAAAGUGCAGCUACUGGGUCUCCAGAAGCAAGAGCCAGCCACCGUGACUGGACAGACAAGUAAAACAGGAGCCCCUGUCCACGGAACACAACAUCCAAAGGUGCCCUCAUGAACAUCUGAAACCCUCAGUAACUCCGGCACGACUCUCUCAGCUCACAGUCUCCUGCCUCAACUUCCCUCCACUCUAGUUUUUUGUUCGUUUGUUUGUUUGUUUUUAAUGGUGGCUUCAAAUAACAAACGUAGAUUUAGUGACAUUGGGUCAGGGGUCAGGCACUCAGGAAGGGUGAGCCAGUGGUCUGGAGCCCUGGCUGCUGGUGUAGCUGGUGGCUGAAAUGACUGAUCAGACAUCUGUGUUAGUCAGCUCCCCAUCACUGUGACAAAGUACCUGAGGCUCACGGCUUUGUGUAUUUCAGUCCACAGUCUGCUGGCUCCACUGUCUUUGUGCCAUGGUAAUGAAAGCAUGUCACAGCAGGAGCUGGCGGCAGAGAGGCUGUUCACCUCACUGCUGCACAGAGGCAAAGAGAAAUGGCGGGGUCGCACUAUCCCCCUUUGGAACGUGCACAGUAACUUUCUUCCAGGAGGUCUUAUAGGCCUCAUCACCUCCCCUCACUCGGAGGUUGGGGCCCAUCCUUUAGCACCCUUGGCCUCAUUUUGGGGAGCACUCAUUAUGCAAACCUUCACAACAGCAGCAGCAUCUCUCCUCCUGUAGGCACGGGGCUUCUCUGGGUGGGCCAGCUUGGCUUUCCUCACAAAAUGUGGCUUGGAGAAGCCCAAGUGCUGACCCCCAGCAACUCAGGAAAGUGCCCUGCCUGAGGCAGGAGUCUUGUGGCUUUCUAGGUCAUGAUGGUGUCACAACAGAAGAGAGGUCAGCUCCCAUCCCUAGACAGGAGAGUGGCAGUGUUCUGAAGGAACCCAAGGGGUCCAAGGCACAGAAAAUGUCUUUGAGGACAUAACACGUUCACCCUGGGGGAAAGGAGAAAGAAUUUCUGCACACUUUCUAGCUCAGCUAGAGAACGGGGCCUGCUCUGAAGGGAAAUAACCAUGGCACAGGCUGUGUUCUAAGAAUUCAGAAGUCAACCUUUCCCCAGCCCAAGAAAAUAUGCACAUAUGAAUGUGCAAACAACUGCCUAGAACCAUGUUUUCCAGAACAUUCCAUCGCACAAGCAUGCUUAACAUCUCUCCUGACCAUUACAAAAGUGGCUACUAACUCACCCUUUGGAAUACAGCAAGGAACAGCUUGUCAACACCACUUUUAUAAGCCUGAGCACAGCUUUAGACAGCUAUGAGUGGCUAACAGCUUCCACAGCCACCAGGCUGGGCCUGGGGCUGAACAUUAUGCAAAACAGUGGCUGGAAGGGAAAUUCUUAAAGUGCUUGCUGUGAAGCAGCAGAACCUUGGCUUUGAUCCCCAGGACCCACAAGAAAACCAGUGUGAGGCUGGAAAGACAGCUCAUCAGUUAAAGGCACUGACUGUUCUUCCAGAGGAGCCAGACUUGGCUCCAAGUCCCUACAUGGUGGCUCACAAGCACCUGUAACUCCAGUUCCGGGGAUCCAAUGCCCUCUCCUGACCACCGUGGGUACUGCACACACAUAGUGCACACACAGGCAGGGAAACACUCCUGCAUAUAGAAUGAAGUAAAUCUUUAAAGAAAAGACAAUCUAUCAAAAGCAAUGCUUUACAUAAGAUAUAAAAUCUAAGACACUAGAGAAGGGAGGGGCUCACUCUCACCGGCAGUUGAGGAUGAAAAGUGCCCAGAAAAAGGAAAACGCUAAGACAGUCAGACACCUCAUUUGAGCAGAGCUUCAGAGCUCAGCGGAGAGGCUGAGAGUCGGGGAAGAUGGUGAGGUGUCCAACCCGGAGCUGCAGGAUGAUGCUAAGCCGUCAAUCUGCUGAUCAACAUCCAAAUCGAAUUUCUGAUCAAAAUUUUUUUAAAAAGAGAACUUGACAAAAGUAUUCGAAAUAUGAACAGAUUCAUCAACGAGACCGAGUGGAGGGGCCAGAAACUGGCCCACGAACAUCAGUGUUUAAUAGCUGGUGAAGAUGGCAAGAAACCUGGGGGAGAUAUGGACUGUUUAACACAUGGUGAAGGGAGACAGAGAUUUGGGGAAAAUAAAGCUAAAUCUUUCUCAUACUUAAAAAAAAAUCCCAAAGCAUUAAAAUUCAAAUGUCAGAAAUGAAUCUAAAAAUGUAAUAGAAGAAAACGUGGGUGAUUUUUUUUUAAAUCUUGGUGUGAAAAAAGUCUUUCUAAGCAUGACAUAAAACCCAGAAGCCAGCAUGGAAAGGACUGACAGAUUUGACUAUGGAAAAGUGCAAGGGUUCAGGUCAGCAAACACCCAUCUAACAAGAUAAAAGACCCUGAUAGGAAAACAAUAGCAACAAGUUAGGAGCCAUGGAGGAAGGCGGUCACACGACACUAGAAAGCCAGACAAGGUGGAGGGUCGGGGGAUUUACUAGAGAUAGGCUCGUGCCACCCAUAAACAGGCACAGGAAGUGAACCACUACAAAUGGCAACAAAAGUGAGCAGAGUGAAGACUGUCACGUUCACCUCCCAUUGGAGAAAAACACCCAAACGGAGUGCUCCCUGCCUCAAAGGAGCGAGCCACGGUGGACUGGAAACAGAGAAGGUGCCUCUGUGAGCCGUUUGGGGACAACUACUGUCAUGUCGCUUUCAAAGCCUUUUCCUGGCAGUUUUGCCUCUAGUAUCAUCUUCCAUUCCUAGUUCUCAAAGCUCGAUGUGGAGAGCAGGGUGCCAUGCCCUCCCCCCUUAUAUUACAUUUGUACACACAACCAAAGGUCAGAUGGCAGCGACUGGAUGACCCACUGAGGUGCGUGAGCCUACAGAAGGUGAGGACAUGCUGGUAAGUAGGCUGGGACAGUGUGCAACUCGCUGUCAAGAGAAGCAGGGCAAGCACCUCUACAUCACUGUUAUGUCUCCUCUUCUGUAUUUCCUGCUCUUGGGAGCCACUCCUGCCCAGGGGGUUUGAAUGAGAAAUGUUCCCCAUACUCUUACAUAUGUGAACCCUUGGCCUCUGGUUGGUUCUCUUGGGGGAAUUAUGGAACCUUUGUGAAGUGGAGCAUUGUUGGAGGAAGCCACUGCUGCCUUGAGUUUAGGGUUCUCAACCUGCAGGUCUUGAUCCCUUGGGGUCAAACAACCUUUUCUUGGCGGUCGCCAAAAACCAAUGGAAAACACAGGCAUUUACAUGACAGUUUAUAACAGUAGCAAACUUACAGUUAUGAAGUAGCAGUGAAAAUAAGUUUACAGUUGGGAGUCACCACAGCAUUAGGGAGACUGAGAUCGGCUGGUUUUGAGCUUCCUUCCAUUUCCGGCUCCACCACUCUGCUUUCUGUGCGCGGUUCAAUAUAUGAUCUCUCAGCUUCCUGUUCCCGUGGUCUGCUGUCCGAACUCUCCUGCUUUUGGACUUUCUCUGGAACUGUAAGCCAAAAUAAACUUUUCCAUAAGUUGUUUUGGUUGCAGUGCCAGAAAGUAACUGAUACACCAGCCUUCCCCCUCUGUUCUGUAUUAUAUAAUCCCAGUCACCUCUUGGCAAUCUUAGGGCUCCCCAGCUCUGAGUAGCCCAGGUUUAAGUUGUGCUUCCCUGCCCUUGCUAUGUCCCACCUCUGUUUUUUCCUGCCAGAGGCUGGCUGGCUUUAACACUAACAGGUCCUUUGUCCCGUUCUCCCCCACCAUCCUGGUAUUGUCUUGUUAGCACCCAUCAUAACUUAGGGGGUUUUGUUUGUUUUGUUUUAAUUUCUAGAGAUAGGACCCUAUGUAACCUUGGCUGGCUUUGAACUUGCUACUUAGCUGACGAUAACCUUGAACUUCUGAACCUGCUCUCUCUACUCCUGGCUACUGGGAUUACAGUUGUGUACCACCAACUCACUUUAUUCCCUUGUUUAGUUGCUCACUUUUCUCCUAGUAAACUUCCAUGAGGGCUAGAGUUGUGUCAGACUUACCACCCUCAGGGAUAUUGGAAAACCCAUGCUCUGAUGGAGACCAUUGGUAACAGAAUGAAGUUGCUGAUGGCUGUUUGAGAGCCUCUCCACACCAGCCCGGUGCUGCAUAAGGACACCUAACACAAAUAGGGCCUGGUAUGUGGCAGCUCAUCACAGCUGGAAAAUACGCCCCAGUCUUUAAGCCUGAGGACCCGAUACCAUGAGGACAGAGAAGGUGGCCUGGGAGCUGCAUGCUUAUGAUCUGGGUGACCAUGACCUCCCUGACACAAAGAGGGUCUCUUAGAGCUGCCAAGCUUCCCAUUGUUUCUCCAGGACCUAAUGGAGGCCGUGCCUUAUGACAGUUGACUGUGGUUGAGCUUCCUUCCAUACGGCUCAUAGGACUGCGAAGGAAUGUCACCGUCUACCUGAUGCCCUGCUGUAGUGUGCUAGUCAAGGCCCUGAGUGAGCCUCCUAAAGGAUCUCCCCAAAGCCUUCAGUGUGUGGCCUUGUCCUGUGACUGACCUACACAGACAUGUCAAGUCCAGCUCAUUCCUUACCAAGGGCAGCUGUGUGCCGCAGCAGUCACAGAGGCUGCCAUUGCUCCAGCACAGCUCAGCUAUCUACUUCCUCCUGGCGCAAGCCUGCCUCUGGGCUCUGCCGCAGCAUUCGGGCCUACGCCACACCCAAAAUGUCUAAAGUUCUUGGCUUCUUGUCUCGGAACCGUGGAAACGCUGCUGGAAGACCCCUCGUCUUGGCCCCUCCACUACAGAUGAAUUGGCCGCAUCUUUUCCUUUCCAGUUGGGCACACGGGGCUUGCCUCUCCGGCAGCCAUGCCAGAGCCACUCCCCACCCCGACCCAGAAGGUGUAAGCAGAUUUCUCACCGUCUGCCACUGCUCAUUGUUGGAGGGAAGCACCAACCCCCGGCAUUUGUUUGAAGGAAAUUAGAUCCUCACCUCCCCACUAAUGAAGCCAGGCUGUGCAAACAGGGAGGCGAGGCGGCAGGCUGCCUGUCUUUCUGGCGGGUGGUGGCCCAGAAGUUGGCGCCCCAGGUGUCUCCCGGCAUGCACGACUGACAGAAGCAACCCACGCCAAGCUGGCUCACGACUUCCCCAGGUGACACAUCUUAGUGGGUGUGUAUCCCAGCCCAGAGCUGUGAGCAGCAACCUUCCUGGCAGUGCUCUGGGCAGAGAACCCCAGCUUAAGAGAGGUCGAGGUCUCUCUCCACCACAGGCACCUAGGCUCCAUUCUCAGGUCCUCCUCCUCCUCCUCCUCCUCCUCCUCCUCCUCCUCCUCCUCCUCCUCCUCCUCCUCCUCCUCCUCCUCCUCCUCUUCCCCCCCUCCCCCUCCUCCUCUUCCUCCUCCUCUUCUUCCCUACCUGGUACAGAGCCACUGUGGGCACAUAAAUCUUUUAAAGUUUCAUUUUAAUUGAGCUAUAACUCUGUAACAUAACACUUUCCAUUUUUAAAAUGGACAUGCCAACGGUUUCUAGAACAUUCACUUCUUUUAAUCACACCCAAAGAAACUUUGUAAUUCUAAGUCGUUCCCCCACGCCAUUCCUCCAGCUCACAGAAGUCACUAGCUCUCCCUCUGUGGAACUGCUGCCCUACCAACAGAGUCACAUGGUGCCUGAUCUCUCCUGACCGGUUUUCCACUCAGCACAAUGUUUUAAAGAUCAAUCCUUCCAGAAACAUGUUCUUCAGUCCUUCCAUUAGAUGUGUGAGCCACAUUUGGCUUGUCCCCACUUCUGGGCUGUUAUGAAUAAUACCCCCAUGAAUACUCAUAGACUGAUCUGUGGGGACAUGUUGUACCCAGGGCUGCAAUGUGGUGCUUCUAAAGUUUGCAUUUUGACAAAUCACUGGGCCACUUUGGAAAGUGACCCACCUAUCUGAGUAGCAGCAUGUCUGGCUUUGGCUUCUCCAAAUUUGACUUAACCUUGUUAUUUCCUGACUCCCAUCCUGAGGUUUAGGCUUGCAUCAUUUCUCCGAUGGCCAAUGAAGUUGAACAAGUUUUCUUUCUCCUGCACUUACUAGCCAUGCACGUGUCACCUUUGGAAAACUGUAGUUAUCCAUUUUGGAUUGGGCAACUCACCCUUUUUUUUUCUUUUAUGUCGAAGUAGUUCUUUAUAGACUCUGAAUAGCAGACUGUAAAAUCUGACCUGGCCUUUGAAGCACCUUCUCACUUCUUUAUGCAAAGUGAGUUUCUACAUUUGACAAAAUCUAGUUUACUCAUCCUUUUAAUUUUUUUAUUUUUAUUAAUUCUUUGUGGAUUUCACAUCAUGCACCCCAAUCCCACUCAUCUCCCCAUCCCUCCAUAUCCACCCUCCACCCUUGCAACCUUCCCCCAAAGAAAACAAAAAUAUGAAAACAAAUAAAUAAAUAAAUACAAAAAUAUCUUGCUGUGGGAACAGUGGUGUGUCCCACAGUAUACCCUUUU